CUGCGGGUACAAGCGCGCUCCAGGCAAGCCCGCCGGCCGCGCAGAGGUGGAGGGGGUGCGGCCUGCAGUGCCUCAGGCGCUCUGGGUUCGCAUACUUUGUUUUCCCACGCCUCCAGCUUUUACACCGAAAGACUUUUCUCCAAAGGGCUUUGUGCAAGAGAUCCAAGUCGGAACGAUGUGAAAGAGGCCCAGAAAAUUUUGUGCUGAAAUUCGAAGGAGAAAAAAAGAAGGUGGAAUGCUUACCCUCGGCGGAAAACAGCAGCGACAGAGCAAGUCUCAGGAAGGCCUGAAGUCCUGGUGUUAGAGCAGGUGCACAGUUUGAGGAAUGAUACUGGAAACCAGGCUGCCACCACUUCAAGACCAAAGGCACUGCCAUGCUGGGGAGGGGGUAGAGCAAGGCUGUACCCAUGACACAUGGAAGUUCCUGGACCAGAGAUUGAAUAUAGACCACAGCUUUGGUCUCUGCAGCAGCUGCGGCAAUGCUGGAACCUGAGGAGAUCAAACCCACGCCUUCUGAGUGACCCAAGCUGCUGCAGUCAGAUUCUUAACCCACUGUGCCACAGCGGGAGCACCAAAUUCCUACCAUUCAGAUUCUUUACGGUCUGGUCCUAAAUUACCUUUCUCAGUCUGUAAACACUGCAUCCUUACUUUAGCCUCUAGUUAAGAGUUUUGGUCCAUUUUCUGUUUUCCUAGGCCGCUUAUACCACUAUGCUGUUAUUGUAGUGGUCCCCUCCCCUGGAAUAGUGCCCCUUCUCUCUGUCUGUUGAGAGCCUUUUUAUCCACUAAGGCUGAGUUUCAUUCCAGGGCCUCCAUAACCACUCCCAUCCACGGGUAUCUUUCUCUCCAUAGCAUGCAUUGUUUUUACUACAUACUCGAUGAGUCAUUACGUUACUUAAGAUAGAUUCCUGGUUAUCUUAUAUAAUGAUUAGACUUGACAUUUUUCACAUUGAAAUUCUAGAUUCUAGUCCCUCCUCUAGAAUGGAAAUCCUAUGAGGUCAAGAGUCAUGCAUUACACUCCCUUGUAACUCCUACAGUGCUAAGUGCUAUGUAUAAGAGGAGCCAGGAAGUGCGUAUUGACUGAAUGGAUAAUAAUCCACUCUUGAAAAAGCAGAGCUUUGGCAGUAUCUGUGAGUGAAUCCAGUGACCUUUUGAGGACAUUCUUGGCUAAGCAGUGAGAAAUUGGAAUAUGAGGUAAUAAUUAAAGCUAUUUUCAGGUCUAGAAGGGAGCUCAGAGACUGAAGUGCUCUGGAGCCAUCUAGAAUGUCAGCUUAAGUCAGCUUCCAGGUUGGUUUGCUUCCACUGUUUUAGGUUUCUUGGGAUUCUAUGCUAUGGACUCAGAAGACCUGAUUUUAUAGUUGCCAUUCCCUAAUAACCUUCAUAUUUUUAUUCAAUUAGUGCUUGAUGGUUUGAAUUAAGCUAGGAACAGUGGUUCUAACCUUUUUCUUGACGUUGUGGAGAACGUGCUUCUGGGAUGUUUGUGUAAGAUGUAAAUGCUUUUUAUGCAACAUUUGGGUAUUGAACAAUGCCUUUGGAAUUCCAUAAGUACCUGAAACGUAUAGUCAGCGAUAGUGCAAAACUUUUUCUUUAAACGGUGUUUUUGACUUUUGUGAACCUCUAACCAUAAUUUUUAGAUAAAUCUGAUUAAUAAAAUGGAGACUCAAACAUAAUAAUAUCUUAGCACAAAAUGAGGAAUACACAAAAUUAGGAAAAAAACCCAUGAUUUUCACAUGUGUCUAUAAAAGGGUUUUGAGGGUAAUUCCAAAGAACUUUCAGAAAUGUAUUAAAUUAUAGAAGCAUUACUGUAAUAAGGAUAGCUUUCACUGGCUGAGCAUUUAUUGUGAGUCAUUAAAUACUUGAUAUUCAAAAUCUCAUUUAAUCCUAAAAGCAACCUGAUGAAGAACGAUUUAAUUAGCUCCAUUUUAAAAGUAUGGAAACUAAAGGUUAAAAUGGUUAACCUGGAAUUGAACUCAGGCUUGUCAGACUCCAAAAUCCAUGUAUCACUGUGAUGACCACCUUGAAGGAAAAACACUGACUGGAUAUGUUCAACUCUCAUGUCUAAGGUCACUUAAGGCUGUGACCUUAGACAUUGCACAGCUCUGGGGUCAGCGCUUCCCCUCUGCUCAUAGCAUAUUUGGAUGGGUUUUAUGACAAAUUUGUAGCAGAUGGCAGUAAAGUGUCUUGAACAGGGUGGGUAGGGGAGUGGUUCCUAAUUCACAGUUGCUCAAAAAUUGUUCUCAGUGCUUUAUGGUCCCAUGUAGAAGGCAGGGUCUAUAAAUCUUCAGAGUUCCUGUCAUGGCUCAGUGGUUAAUUAACCCGACUAGUAU